rnacentral:rRNA from 1 species
UACGUAGGAGACGAGCGUUGUCCGGAGUUACUGGGCGUAAAGGGUGCGCAGGCGGCCUUGCGCGUCGCGAGUGAAAUCUCCCGGCUCAACUGGGAGGGUGGUCGCGAGACGGCAGGGCUUGAGGCUCGGUGAGGGGCGUGGAAUUCCGGGUGGAGCGGUGAAAUGCGUAGAGAUUGGAAAGAACACCGAUGGCGAAGGCACUUUACUGGGCUAUUACUAACACUCAGAGACGAAAGCUAGGGUAGCAAAUGGG